GAUGAACGCUAGCGGAAGGCUUAAUACAUGCAAGUCGAGCGGUAGGUGGCUUCGGCCAUUGAGAGCGGCGCACGGGUGAGUAACGCGUACAUGACCUGCCUGUCAGAAGGGGAUAGCCCUGGGAAACUGGGAUUAAUACCCUAUGGUAUUGAUAUUAUGAAUGAUAUCAAUUAAAGUUGAGGCGCUGACAGAUGGAUGUGCGUCUGAUUAGCUAGUUGGUAGGGUAACGGCCUACCAAGGCGACGAUCAGUAGGGGGCGUGAGAGCGUGGUCCCCCANACGGGUACUGAGACACGGACCCGACUCCUACGGGAGGCAGCAGUAAGGAAUAUUGGUCAAUGCCCGCAAGGGUGAACCAGCCAUUCCGCGUGGAGGAUGAAGGCCCUAUGGGUUGUAAACUUCUUUUAGAUGGGAAGAAAUGCUAGAUGUAUCUGGUACUGACGGUACCAUCAGAAUAAGCACCGGCUAACUCCGUGCCAGCAGCCGCGGUAAAG
rnacentral:rRNA from 1 species